rnacentral:misc_RNA from 1 species
UCCGAGUUGACCCCGGCAGUCUCUCACGAGUCCCCACCAUUACGUGCUGGCAACAUGAGACAAGGGUUGCGCUCGUUGCGGGACUUAACCCAACACCUCACGGCACGAGCUGACGACGGCCGUGCAACACCUGUGCAUGCUCCCCGAAGGGUCCUUCAGCUUUCACAUCCGUACCACAUGCAUGUCAAACCUGGGUGAGGUUCUUCGCGUAUCAUCGAAUUAAACCACACGCUCCGCUGCUUGUGCGGGCCCCCGUCAAUUCCUUUGAGUUUUAGCCUUGCGGCCGUAGUCCCCAGGCGGAGUACUUAUCGCGUUUGCUUCGACACGGAGGGGGUCGAUACCCCCCACAUCUAGUACUCAUCGUUUACGGCGUGGACUAC